rnacentral:snRNA from 1 species
GGAUGUGAGGGCCAUCUGGCUGCGACAUCUGUCACCCCAGUGGUCGCCAGGGUUGAUUCGGCUGAUCUGGCCAGCUAGGUGGGUGUCCCCUUCCUCCCUCACCACUCCAUGUGAGUCCCUCCUGAAGCUGUGCACUUGGUUGAAGAGGAUGGCCUUCCCUGAAUAGAGACAGACCAGUCUUCGGUCAAGGGUAUAGGAGUAUCUGUACUCCCCUGCUAGAACUUCCAAACAAGCUCUCAAGGUCCUACUUUGAGAAGUAGCUAAUGUUUACUGAAAGGGAGAUUCCACUGGAUGUUCACUGUUAUUC